GUCGAACGGACUCAUAUUGAAACCUAGUGAUUUAUGAGUUAGUGGCGGACCGGUGAGUAACACGUGGAUAACCUGCCGUAUACCGGGGGAUAACACUUAGAAAUAGGUGCUAAUACCGCAUAAGCGCACGGCUCCGCAUGGGGCAGUGUGAAAAACUCCGGUGGUAUACGAUGGAUCCGCGUCUGAUUAGCUAGUUGGCGGGGUAACGGCCCACCAAGGCAGCGAUCAGUAGCCGGCCUGAGAGGGUGGACGGCCACAUUGGGACUGAGACACGGCCCAAACUCCUACGGGAGGCAGCAGUGGGGAAUAUUGCACAAUGGGGGAAACCCUGAUGCAGCGACGCCGCGUGAGUGAAGAAGUAUCUCGGUACGUAAAGCUCUAUCAGCAGGGAAGAAAAUGACGGUACCUGACUAAGAAGCCCCGGCUAACUACGUGCCAGCAGCCGCGGUAAUACGUAGGGGGCAAGCGUUAUCCGGAUUUACUGGGUGUAAAGGGAGCGUAGACGGCAGCACAAGUCUGGAGUGAAAUCCCGGGGCUUAACCCCGGAACUGCUUUGGAAACUGUGCGGCUGGAGUGCAGGAGGGGUAAGCGGAAUUCCUAGUGUAGCGGUGAAAUGCGUAGAUAUUAGGAGGAACACCGGUGGCGAAGGCGGCUUACUGGACUGUAACUGACGUUGAGGCUCGAAAGCGUGGGGAGCAAACAGGAUUAGAUACCCUGGUAGUCCACGCCGUANACGAUGAUUACUAGGUGUCGGGGGAUCNAGGUCCUCCGGUGCCGGC
rnacentral:rRNA from 1 species